rnacentral:rRNA from 1 species
UACGGAAGGGGCAAGCGUUGUUCGGAAUCAUUGGGCGUAAAGGGCGCGUAGGUGGUUCUGUAUGUCUACCGUGAAAGCGUACGGCUCAACCGUAUUUUGUCGGUGGAAACUGCAGGACUUGAGGCUGGGAGGGCUGGUGGAAUUCCCUGUGUAGCGGUGAAAUGCGUAGAGAUGGGGGAGAACACUCGUGGCGAAGGCGGCCAGCUAGACCAGUUCUGACACUGAGGCGCGACAGCGUGGGGAGCAAACAGG